GCAAAUCCUUCCUUACCAAUGAUCCUUCAACUGUUUUCCCGGAAUUGGAAGGUGAACUUAUCAAAAUUGAACCUUGCAUGGAUUCACUCUGUCCAUUUCUGGCUGUCAAGAACAAUUCAGAGAUGAAGAAGAGAUGGCUCACUCUAAAUAUACAUCUCCACAGUCCAAGGUGCUGAAAAGGUUGAUGCAUCUUGAAUGUAAAUGAGAAGCCACCUUCUGCGGUGGAAUCAUUGUGCCAUUUGCCUAGAGAAACUAUAUCAUCAGUUGCAAUGACACCAUCUGAUUCAUCUAUCACCCCGAAUGCAAAUUCUACCAUGACGAAGACUGCAGAGGCAUGCUAUUUACGUUUAGUGUCCUCUUGAACACAGAGGCUGGCAAGGAUGAUUAUAGCUACCAUCUAUUUAAAGUAUUUGUAUAAUUUAUUUUCUGAAACAUUAAAGUGUUUUGGAAGUUAAGUUGUAUUAAUAUGAACUUAAUAGGGUAAGUUCUUGUCAUAUUUUAGUUGACUAACUGGAACUGCUCGAGUUCUUCUUGUCAUAUCUUAACUGCUGCUUGAUGGUUAGAGACCUCAGAUGCAGAUACUCUGCUUCCUGAACCCAUUUCCCUUUUA